GUGUCAAUUGUGGCCCACUCAACAGAACACCUGCAAAGAAGAAAGCUGUGAAAUGCGGUUCAGCUUUGUGAAGGCAGAACAAUGCUAUUCUUCAAUUCAUGGCUACAGGGGAGCAGAGCACAGGGUCAGAGCAUCAACAAGGGAUACACCCUCCAAAGCAAGUACCAAAGAACACAGUCACAAAGACAAGGAAUGAAAACAGCAAGAUCAACUUCCAACAGGGCCACGGCUAAGCCUUCUUUCCCUCCUGCACAGGCUUCACCAGGGCUGACUGGGGCAAGAGUAGCUCACUCUACAGAUCCCAGGCUGUACUGGAAGACCAGGGACUCAGAUGAGGAAACAGCCUCGCAGAGGUUAAGAAGCCUCCCACAGUCAUACAGUUCACAAGUGGGGCUGGGAAGCAGUUCUCACUCAUUCCAACGUCAGCGAUGAAAAUUCCACCUGGGAUCUUGGAAUACAAGGGGUGACUACUGUGUCCUGGACAGCACAGAAUGCAAACAAGUUACAUAUCAAGGAGAAAAGCAACUGGAUAAAAAAUUUCUGGGAUGUACACAGCAGAAUCUCUGAUCAGCUGAGUCUCCUUCAGGAAGGUGAUGCAGAUCUCAGCAAGUGUAAUUCAGAAGCCCAAUCAGAAAUCACUGCUCCAGAUCUGGAUGCAGCAAGGUGAACACCAGUCCUGAAGCAGCUCUUAGGUAUGGACUUGGUUUUUGCCACAUUCUAGAGAUGUGUGUGUACAUCUGAUGUGAGGGGCAAGUAUUCAUGGGAGCCAGAUUAUAGCAGCUCUUUAGAGAGUGUUGACCUCUCUGAGAUAUGAAACUGCAGUUUCAAACACUUAAAAUCUACUUACGAACAACAUCAGCAAAUAUACUUCCUCCUGGUUUUCUUCUGCUAUGCUUGUUUACGCUUUUAUACUGAGUCCCACAUAUAAUCCAUUCCUGCCCCUGUGGACUUGGUCCACAAUAGUAACUGACAGAAUGACCUGCUGAGACCCAUCGCUGCCAUUAUAGGUCCAUCAACUGAUCUGUUUCUCUCUCUUCUAAGCCCAAACCCGUUUACCUACACAACUUACUUUAGAGGCCAAAGGUUAUUUUUUCUUUUCCCUCUAAAUAUCCUGUCAAACUCAUAAGGAGAAGGGGUGGUUAUUACUACAUUUUCUAAAUGGAAAAAUGUAAACAACUUCAGUAACUAAAUACAACCAGAAGUGAAAUGUCUGAGGAGAAUUAUAUAGAUCUGCUAUUAUCACUUCACUAGCUAGUCCCAGAGAAGCAGCGAGGAAGAUUCAGAAACAAAGUCAGCUAUGAUAUAGUAAGGUUGUGAAAUUGAGACGGAGACCAUUAGGAGGACAGAGGACAGGUGAACUUCAGGUCCUUAACUCAGGGCCUGUUAUCCAUUAGAAGUAUGGUACAUGUUUUUGCCGAGCCCAUCACUAUCCAAAAUAAACUAAUCAACCUCAAAAAUGAGAAGUGUUGUUAAAGCCAGGAAGCCUUCACCAUAGUGUCUCUAAGAAUAAAUUAGAUGAGAAAAUAAAACUGUUGGGAAUCACCACAAAGGGACAGAAGACAAACUCCUGGGCUCUUAACCUGUCACUCAGUAAAAGCACAAUUUGUGCUUCUCUCAGGGGCAAUCAGGGCUGAAAAGCUGAUUUUGCUAAAAACAAAAAUAGUAACAAAAACAGUGACUCUUCACUUGAGCCUAUAGGUGCCCAAUGGGAAACUAAAAAUAGGAUAAAGCUUGGUAUGUCUGCCUUCAUUUUGUAUCUGUGUCCUUUAUUUCCUUAACCUUGGAGUAAGAUUCCUGCUUAGCUGUACCCAUAGGCAUGUUACUCCCUUAAGGAAUGUCUAUAAAAACUGGCAAUACAAGGUUUCUUAGUGCUAAAUGUAUCUAACCCAUUUCAUCUGCCUUGAAGACUAAGGACAGGGAGGUAAGUGUAACCAAGAUAUUCUCAAGAUUCACAGAGACAUCCAACUGUCAGCUUUUCUUUUCUUUUUCUUUUUGAUAUGGAGAACUGAACUCAUGACUUUGCACUUGCCAAGUAGAUGCUGUGCUGCUGAGCUGUGUUCCUGCCAUUAACUACCAGCUUUUACAAUGUCCUGAAGUGGCUCUUAGAAGUUUGAGUCACUGCCCCAAGCCUACAGUUGCCUUCAGUUCCAGCAGGGCGUCCGCAGGACUGAGACUGCUUCUCUUAACCCCCAGCAGAGGCAAUCACCUUAUUGGAACCAGAAUUGCUUCCCCAAACAAUGACUUCUCUGGAGCCACCUCAUAGUGUCAGAAUGGGGAUAAUUAUCAAAUAGACCCACUCCACCAGCCCCAUAAAAACUUGUCCCUGUCCUUUGUCAACAACCAGGCUGUCAGUGCCAUGGCCCCUUCAACUGUUUACUUAAAGCUUAAGUCCCUCCCCUAUUUUACCUUACUUUCUGAGUCUUGCUGUGUAGUUCAAGCUGCCCCUGAGCUCACUAUGUAGGCUAGACUGGCUUUGAACUCACAGCAAUCUUCCUGCCUCAGCCUCUUGAGUGCUGGGAUUACAGGUGUGAGCCACCAUGCCCUGCCUUUGUGUGUGUGUGUGUGUGUGUGUGUGUGUGUGUGUGUGUUUAAUUUUAGGAAAAAACCAAGAAAAAUCAAACAGAAUAAAAUCAAUCCUUGGUGUGUUUUUUAAAUUUCCGUAAUCACUGGAUCAAAGGACCCCACAUAUGGUAUCAAAAUGACUGACAAGAAGGAGGGGUAAGAAUGCCAUGGAAUGCCCAUGAACCUCCUGACCAGUUGGUAGAAGAGCAUGUUACUCAAUUCCCUGUCCCGGGGACAAAAUACUUGACACCUGCAAUAUACAGAAGGAGAUGUUUGUUUUGGGUCUCAUGAUUUCAGAGAAUUCAGUCUGUGGUUGGCUGGCUUAAGAUAAAAACAACAUGGUUUAAAAAAAAAAAAAAGAAAUGCCACGGUAAAAGUAGUUGGAGGAGGAAAGAUGAUUACAUUGUGAGAGUCAGGAAACAGAGGUCAAAGGAAGGAAAUGGGUUCAGAGGUCUAUCCAUAGAUUGCAUCUGCUAUGACCUGCCCUUUCCUAUCAGGUCACAUUUUAUGAAUUUGUCGGUGGAUUAAUCUAAUGAUUAUAUUGCCCCCGUAACCUAAUCACCUCCCAACAGUGCCACCUCUGAACACAUACGACAUUCUUGAAGAGAAGGAAGCUGUGAGAUAGCGGAACUCUCUUUUUCUAAGGCAAAGACCAUAAUAUGACACUGGAUGUGUGACUAGACUGCACAAAAAUGAACCAGACCCUUGGAAACCAGGUCUCAGGUCAGCUACGUGAGUCUUUGCACGGGGUUCGGUCGCACUGACUCUAUUUAGUCAUCCUGUUUUUGUUUCUUUUCUCUCCAAAUCCUCAUUGCACCUUCACCUGUCUCCUGUUUCCUUUCUUUUUCCUUGCCUUUCUUCUUUACUUUAUUUCUUCAUUUCUUUGGUAAGUAGAGUACAAGAAUGAAAAUUCUUCUGUCGUCUUAGGCUCACCAUUUGGAAUUAUUUUCAUUGGAUAGAAGAACAUAAAUACUGACAUAGAAAGUCUAGUGGCUAGUUGGUAAAGCCUUGAGAAUUAUCCUGAAAGUCAGUUAAACGCAAAUCUCAAUUGAGAAUUGUUUUCUUGAUAUUUUCCAUUUCUCCUAAAGUUGUGGAUGAAUUUCAGAUUAGCUUAAAUUUCUGGUUAUUUGAUCUCUGUUCAAAACUUUUUUUUCACUACUCUCCUCUGUCCUUUUCCAGAUGCUGAAAAUUUUUUUCUGCAUUAAGAUACUAGCAAAAGGGCUACGGACUUAGCUUAGUGGUUUAAGCGCCUGCCUGGCAAAUGCGAGAUUGUGAGUUCAAUUCCUGGUUUAAAAAAAAAUAGAAAAAGAUACUAGCAAGAAACUGGGGAUGGUGGCUGAAGCCUGAAAUCCUUAAGCUUUGGGAGGUUGAGGCUGCAGAAUAGCAAGUUUGAGUCCCAAUGCAGACAACCUAGCAAGAUCUUGUCUUACAAUAAAAAAUAAAGGGUUCUAUGGAUGUAGUGAAGUGUGAAAGCCCUGGGUUCAAUCUUCAGUAUGAAAAAAAGAUAAAAAAGAUAUUAGUAAGAAUAUAAUUUCUUCUAGUUUUAUAAACUUUACACAUAUCUGGCUGCAAGAUCAUCUUUAUAUGCAUAAUUAUAUCUGAAAACAUUUUAUCUUGAUUAAUUAAGGUAUUUUUGCUUUUUACUAACAGCAGGGAAGAGUUUCUGGAAAGGCCUCCAGAGCCACUUAGGCUCUUUGAAAGGUUUGCAGUCCACAAGUCCAGAUUAGCACAUGUCUGCUACCACUUCAGUUUCUAUCUGGUAGAGCAGAAGUGUGGUAGUUACAUAUUUCCAGUCACUUCUGUCACGAUUUAAUGCUACCAACAUAAUUAACUGCCUUAACUUAAAAAAAUGCUUUUAUAUUUGAAAUGUUACAGAUUUUUAUUGUAGCAGAUUAUGAAAUACAGAGCAAUAUAAAGGAGAAAACAUGUAUCACCCAUAAUUAUACUGUUGGAUAAUAGCAGAAUCAAUAUUUUGGUAAAUGUCCCUCAGGGUUUUUUCCUACUCAUACAGUUUUUAAAUGUAUAAGUAAAAUUUUAUAUGAUGAUAAGGGUUUAAUUUUGGGGUAACUAUUUUUUGCUGAAAUACAUGUAUCACACAUAUUUCCCCCAUGGAGUUAAAUGUUCAUUAUACAACAUAAUAUUAAAUGGAGUUCACCAGCCAAGCCAACUUGUCCGAGGUUGACCACUCAGUUGCUGCUACUUCCAUGUGUUCUGGGUUCAUGGUUCUUGACCACAUGAUAAGAGCCCUGAGUGCCUCAAGUUUGAGGACAGGUUUUUAAUAAGUAAACCUUUAUAGCACAUUAUUAAAAGAGAGUGCACAAGAUUUUGUUGUGUAAAUAUAUAAUUUCUUUCAGAUAUACCUUCUUCCAACUUCGAUUAAAUUGUCAUUUUUUUUCUCACUGUCUUGGGUAAUGCAGACCAAAGCAGCCUUGUACACAAAGUUUGUGAGAAUCUCUAAUUACUUCCUCAGGACAAAUUCCCAGAAGUGGCAAGGUGGCUAGUAGAGUUCAUUUAUUUUCUUGGUGAUACUGGGAAUUAAACUCAGGACCUCAUGCUUGCCAGGCAGGCACUGCGCCAGUGAGCUAAAUUCUUGGCCCCUUUAUUGGAGUUUAACAUUUUUAAGUCUUUGCAGAAAUUCUGCCAAACUGGCCUUUGGAAAGUAGGUACUACUUUAUUCUAAAGAGCAACUGUUAAUCUGUAUUUCUAUAUGAUGAGUAAUUGUUCUUCAAAAUGGAAUUAUACUAACUUGAAAAAUAGCAAUCUCACUUUCAUUGAAAUUUCUUGGAAUACUAUUUCAUGUCCUUAAUUGGCCAUUUGCAUGCAGGCCUAGGGAAUAGUUCACUAAUGCUAUCUCUUCAAUUUCUGACCGCGAUCAUUAACUUUUACUUCUUGGUUUGCAGAUGAGCUAAUUGAUAAUUUUUACUCAGACCAUUUCCAAAGAUGAAUAAUAUUACAACAAUGUUUGUUUUUCUAUGUUUUCCGUGUUUUGUCACUUUCUGUAAGGUGAUGGAAAAUGAAUACAUGUUAAAUACUGGUCAGUUUAUUCAACUUCCAAAUUUAUAAAUAAUCUUUCUCCUUAAUC